ACAGCAGCCGCCGCGGGAAUACGUAGGGUGCAAGCGUUAAUCGGAAUUACUGGGCGUAAAGCGUGCGCAGGCGGUUAUAUAAGACAGAUGUGAAAUCCCCGGGCUCAACCUGGGAACUGCAUUUGUGACUGUAUAGCUAGAGUACGGCAGAGGGGGAUGGAAUUCCGCGUGUAGCAGUGAAAUGCGUAUAUAUGCGGAGGAACACCGAUGGCGAAGGCAAUCCCCUGGGCCUGUACUGACGCUCAUGCACGAAAGCGUGUGGAGCAAACAGGAUUAGAUACCCCCGUAGUCCCUGUCUCUUAUAC
rnacentral:rRNA from 1 species